UACAGAGGUCCCAAGCGUUGUUCGGAUUCACUGGGCGUAAAGGGUGCGUAGGCGGGUCUUUAAGUCAGGGGUGAAAUCCUGGAGCUCAACUCCAGAACUGCCUUUGAUACUGAGGAUCUUGAGUUCGGGAGAGGUGAGUGGAACUGCGAGUGUAGAGGUGAAAUUCGUAGAUAUUCGCAAGAACACCAGUGGCGAAGGCGGACUCACUGGCCCGAUACUGACGCUGAGGCACGAAAGCGUGGGGAGCAAACAGGG
rnacentral:rRNA from 1 species